AAAGCAUUCGCCAUCUAGAGAGACACAGAGAUGAGGAGCCCAAGAGAUGAAACUGGAGAGGGUCAGCCCAAGAAGCAGGAAGCAGCAGUGCAGGGAGAAAAGAGUACUGGAUUUAGAGUCAGACACCCAGGUUCAAGUUCUAGUUUGCAGUUCGUAGAAGCAGUCUUCCCAGCUUGAUUUUAUUCACAGAAGAAAAAAGGUACCCCUGGGAAGUGCCUGACAAAAGCUUGAAGAGAGAAGAGGCUCUGCUGUGGUUUGAAUGCGUCCCCCAAAGUUCAUGUGUUGGAAACUUGAUCCCCGAUGCAGCAGUACUGGGAGGAUGCCCUUUGCCAUGUUAUGAUCCUGCAGGAAGACCCUCACCAGAUAUGGCCCCUUGAUCUUGGACUUCCCAGCCUCCAGAAUUGUGAGAAAUAAAUUUCUGUUUUUAAUAAAGUUCCUAGUUUGUUGCAUUCUGUUAUAGCUGCACAAAGCAGACUGAGACAGGCUCCUUUACUCAUGGUGAAGAAGGUAAGUCCCUUAUGACUUUAUCAAAUAAAAAUAAUGACUACAGGUAAAGGGCU
rnacentral:lncRNA from 1 species